rnacentral:misc_RNA from 1 species
GAUGAAGAACGUAGCGAAAUGCGAUAAGUAAUGUGAAUUGCAGAAUUCAGUGAAUCAUCGAAUCUUUGAACGCACCUUGCGCCCCUUGGUUAUUCCAAAGGGCAUGCCUGUUUGAGUAUCAUGAACACCUCAACUCUUGUGGUUUCCCACAAUGAGCUUGGACUGUGGAGGUUUUGUUGUCCCUGUGGUCAGCUCCUCUCAAAUGGAUCAGCUUACCGGUGUUUGGUGGCAUUACGGGUGUGAUAACUAUCUACGCUCGUGGUCGUCUCCAAAUAACCUCCAGUGAUGGAGGUUCGCUGGAGCUUAUAAAUGUCUCUCCCCAGUGAAGACAGCCUUUGAACGUUCGAUCUCAAAUCAGGUAGGACUACCCGCUGAACUUAAGCAUAUCAAUAAGCGGAGGA